ACGCGCGGAACCUUACCAGGUCUUGACAUCCUCUGACACUCCUAGAGAUAGGACGUUCCCCUUCGGGGGACAGAGUGACAGGUGGUGCAUGGUUGUCGUCAGCUCGUGUCGUGAGAUGUUGGGUUAAGUCCCGCAACGAGCGCAACCCUUGAUCUUAGUUGCCAGCAUUCAGUUGGGCACUCUAAGGUGACUGCCGGUGACAAACCGGAGGAAGGUGGGGAUGACGUCAAAUCAUCAUGCCCCUUAUGACCUGGGCUACACACGUGCUACAAUGGAUGGUACAAAGGGCUGCAAGACUGCGAAGUCAAGCGAAUCCCAUAAAACCAUUCUCAGUUCGGAUUGCAGGCUGCAACUCGCCUGCAUGAAGCCGGAAUCGCUAGUAAUCGCGGAUCAGCAUGCCGCGGUGAAUACGUUCCCGGGCCUUGCACUCACCGCCCGU
rnacentral:rRNA from 1 species